rnacentral:tRNA from 1 species
GGGGAAAUAGCUUAGUUGGUAGAGUGCUUGUCUUGCAUGCACGAGGCCCUGGGUUCAAUCCUCAGUACCACCU